ensembl:lncRNA LINC03064 long intergenic non-protein coding RNA 3064
ACAACCUAUUGAAUCUCACAACAUAUGUUUGGAUAGCACUUCCCAGCCUACAACGCACUUUCUCAGGGAUUCUCAAACUUCCUCCCACCUCACAUCCUUUUAAGGCAAGUGAGUGUGGGAACUCUGGUUCAGGGAAGUUAAAUCACUUGCCUAAGGUCAUGCAGAUCAUUAAUGCCAUAGCCAAGACCUGAGCACGUUCUCCUAAAGCCAGGUCAGGCCUCUUGUCACAUACUCCAUUGACUCUAGUGCCUAACCCAUGCUCAUCACAGAGCUCACAUUGGAACCAUUGUUAAACAGACUCUAAUGGAAAUGACUUCGUUCAGCUGGUGAACAUUUUGGAAGAUUCCAGAAAAACAUGAACAAGUGUUUGAGUGCUCUUAAGGGGAUUGUCUAAUAUCUUGGCUCCUGACUCAUCCUUAGAAGUCUUCCAGCCACCUUGUACCCAUUUCAAGCCCAAGGGCUCUUUAACGUAAAUGAGUUACUGAGCAGUUUCAGAGACAAGCAAGAAUAAAUCAAUGGAAGCAUGUUGUGGAUUAUUUGCAUGGCCACCUUCUCAUUGAGUUCAGCCAUAUGAUUUCAGAAAAGACUUUGCUUUUGUAAUUUGCCAUCCUCUAGGCUCCUAAUACUACUACCUGUGUUACCUGCAGAAAAGAACAGAGAAAGAUCCAGUGCAAAAACUCAUAGGAAAUGAUCAAUUCAUGCCAAGUGAUGAGAACUAGAGAAGAGAGAUGAGAGCAUUGUUCAUACACGAUGGUCUAGGUCUCCUACCCCAAGAGAACUUGCAACAAAGCCCAAAGUACAACAGCCACGUUUAAAGAGAAGAUUCCAUUUCAGCCAGACAACAUGAUUCAUCAUAUUUAUUUAAUAUUGUUAAUUUGAAUUUUAUUAGAUCUGUACUGAUGUUUGUAUUUAAUUUCUAAUUUGUUUUGGUUUCAUAAUUCACUAAAACAAUAAGCACAAAGAGUUUCUAUCUGACUUUAUAUAUUAACAUUUUAAUAAAAGUCUUUUAUAUACUCA